UUUCCAGUUGCCAGCAAUCCCUACGCUAUGCCAAAACAGCACCUCGUUGGAUUCCUUUACGUGGACAAGUGCUAAAGAGAGUCCUCAAACUUGUAUUUGCUUCAUUUCUCUGCUGCAAUUGUUCCGCAACCAGAAAAAGCAGCCAGUCAAUGGUGUUUCCUUGUUGAAACGUCUUUGUUUCUCCAUUGUUCCUUUUCAUUUUCUAGUUUCCCUUUUCUUUAAGGGCAGCAAACAAACAAAAAAAAAAGAUAUAACAACAGAAAAGAAAAUGAUGACAUGAUUUGGAGAAAGUGAGAAGGUGAGUAGAUUGUGGUCAUUUGUUGUGUUAGUUUAUGAAAUAAGUGAAUCAAUAAUGGCUUCUUUUCUUCCAAAGACAACGAUUUUUUUACUUCAUUGUUGUGCGAGAUUUUGGGAUUUUUUAUUAAUGUAAAUGGUAGGAAAAUUAAUUCACGUCGAUCCACAUGUGGUCGCAAAGCUUAACAGGAUUAAUGUACUCUUAUGAUAUAAGUCAUGAGUCAUUGUUGAAGGUAAGUAUACGGAAAUCAAUGUCAUCGGGGGUUUUUGAUCGGGUGCACGUGGCCACAACAUUUUAUAUCUAAGGAGAGUAAAGGUUGGAGAAUGUUGCAAUGGUGGCGUAACUUAAUUGGAUGGAUAAGUGCAGGUGGAUUUGACUUGGAUUUCAUUUGAACAAGUAAACCUUUGACCCAAUGUCAAAGUGCAUAGUUUGACCGGGCAUUGGUUCAAGAGGAUGACCGCUGCAAUAUGUGGAGUUAAUGUUUCAAGAGAAUUCAAAUCGAUUCUUGAAUAGUAAAUAUAUAAAUUUCGUAAGUGAUUCUUAUUUUUAAUAUACUAAUUUUUUUAAUUGUUUUCAUA
rnacentral:lncRNA from 1 species